UCCCUGGCAGUCCAGUAGUUAGGACUCUGUGCUUUCACUGCAAAGUCCCAGGUUCAAUCCCUGGUUGGGGAA
rfam:TPA: Bos taurus chromosome 8, whole genome shotgun sequence.